rnacentral:rRNA from 1 species
GAUGAACGCUAGCUACAGGCUUAACACAUGCAAGUCGAGGGGCAUCAGGAAGAAAGCUUGCUUUCUUUGCUGGCGACCGGCGCACGGGUGAGUAACACGUAUCCAACCUGCCGAUAACUCGGGGAUAGCCUUUCGAAAGAAGAUUAAAUAUCCGAUAGUAUAUUAAACCGCAUGGUUUUACUAUUAAAGAAUUUCGGUUAUCGAUGGGGAUGCGUUCCAUUAGUUUGUUGGCGGGGUAACGGCCCACCAAGACUACGAUGGAUAGGGGUUCUGAGAGGAAGGUCCCCCACAUUGGAACCGAGACACGGUCCAG